rnacentral:rRNA from 1 species
GCCUACGGGACGCAGCAGUAGGGAAUCUUCGGCAAUGGACGAAAGUCUGGCCGAGCAACGCCGCGUGAGUGAAGAAGGUUUUCGGAUCGUAAAACUCUGUUGGUAGAGAAGAACGUUGGCGAGAGUGGAAAGCUCAUCAAGUGACGGUAACUACCCAGAAAGGGACGGCUAACUACGUGCCAGCAGCCGCGGUAAUACGUAGGUCACGAGCGUUGUCCGGAUUUAUGGGGCGUAAAGCGAGCGCAGGUGGUUUAUUAAGUCUGGUGUAAAAGGCAGUGGAGCAACCAUUGU